rnacentral:tRNA from 1 species
AGCUCAAGAGGACAGAGCAUCGGACUUCUAAUCCGAUGGUUGGGAGUUCGAGAGGAGUUGACUUUUA